rnacentral:misc_RNA from 1 species
CUGAUACAAAUAAAAACUUUUAAAGGAUGACACAUCUGUGAAGUAAUUCUAUCGUAGUUUUAUUUUAUUUUUUUUCCUUAUGGUGUUCAGGAGUUUUUAGUGGCAUUUUCGCUAGCCAACAUCUGUCAGGAGAGAUCCUGUUUUUGUUUGUUUCAUUCAAAUUCUUUCAGAAGGAACCCUAAUCCUCCUUGUAGUACCCUACUUUCCCUUCUCUCAAUAAAUCCUUUUCAUUUAAAAGGAAGGAGGGGGAAAAGCGUUGUAAUAAUAGCACCUCCAUAACCCCAUCAGCCAAAAACACAUACAUUACCCAGUUCACAUAUUCAAGGUUCUGAUACUGAAGUUUAGAUCAAAACUAGAAGUAUAGAAAAGAUGCUAGUCGACCGAAAAAUAAGAUUCCUACAUUAGUCAAGGGGGGAAAAGGAAGAAAAAUGAAUGCUGCAACAUUUUGAUAUUUAACAAUGCUAUCUCUUCCAAUGUAGAAAUUGGACUUUGUGCUGUUUUCUAGACUUCACAAUGGCCAGAUUCACACAACAUUGACACUUCAUCCUAUUUACAUAUUUACAUCAUGACUAAGGGUGGCAAAGAUAGAAUAAAAAUCAAUCAAUAAACAAUUAUGCCUAUUACAAACUGAAAUUGAAAAGAGAGAGAGAGAGAGAG